rnacentral:rRNA from 1 species
AUUGAACGCUGGCGGCAUGCCUUACACAUGCAAGUCGAACGGUAACGCGGGGCAACCUGGCGACGAGUGGCGAACGGGUGAGUAAUGCAUCGGAACGUGCCCAGUAGUGGGGGAUAGCCCGGCGAAAGCCGGAUUAAUACCGCAUACGACCUAAGGGUGAAAGCGGGGGAUCGCAAGACCUCGCGCUAUUGGAGCGGCCGAUGUCAGAUUAGGUUGUUGGUGGGGUAAAAGCCUACCAAGCCGACGAUCUGUAGCUGGUCUGAGAGGACGACCAGCCACACUGGGACUGAGACACGGCCCAGACUCCUACGGGAGGCAGCAGUGGGGAAUUUUGGACAAUGGGGGCAACCCUGAUCCAGCCAUGCCGCGUGCGGGAAGAAGGCCUUCGGGUUGUAAACCGCUUUUGUCAGGGAAGAAACGCUCUGGGCUAAUACCCCGGGGUAAUGACGGUACCUGAAGAAUAAGCACCGGCUAACUACGUGCCAGCCGCCGCGGUAAAAC